GCUAAUCAUCUGCAGGUUCUCAAUUUUUUUGAAGUCAACUGAAGGCUAAGUGGGAAGAGUAGAAGAAAUUGCUUGAGAAAGCAAGAAAUGACGCUGAGAAGAAAUAUGAUGAAAUAAAUGAGCAGGUUUUCUUUUCACCCAUUUAGUUUGACUGAUGCCUUAUUCAGUUAUCCUUCAGUGUUCUUGUUGAAUUAUUGUGUCCUAACAUGCUCUUAUUGUCUAGUAUUAAACUGUUGUCUACCCAACACAUUAAAAAAUUAUGGUCCAUUGAUGUGUAUAUGAGGAAUUCAUUAUUUAUAGGACUGUUAAUUUAUUUGGUAUCUUUGGUGAGUGUUGGUUGCAGUUUGCAACCUAAGAUCAGUUACAGUUAGCAAGUCUAGUUAAUCACUGUCAAUGUGGAGUAUGUGCCACUGUCGGUGAUUGAAUGACCUCUUCCUCCUAACUCUGUAUUUUCUCUUUAUCUUCAACUCAAAAUAUAAAAGAAAUAAUGGGUCACAUUGUAAUGCAAUUUAAACAGCAUGUCCAUAAACUGUAUUUGAUAGCAGGCAGUAACACCGUUUCUUCCUUGUGGCAAGCCCACAUAGUGUGAA